ensembl:lncRNA novel transcript
CUUCCUGGGCAGAGGGUCAUGUAGUGGAAUAGAGCUGUACCUGGCUUCAGGCGAGACUUGGAGCUCAAAACUUUCAGUAGGACAGCCAGGCGCGGUGGCUGAUGCCUGUAAUCCCAGCACUUUGGGAGGCCGAGGUGGGCGGAUCACGAGGUCAGGAGAUCAAGACCAUCCUGGCUAACACGAUUCUUGUGCUGUCACUCAGGCUGGAGUGCAACGUUGAAAUCUCGGCUCACUGCAACUUCUGCCUCCCGGAUUCAGGCAAUUCUUGUGUCUCAGCCUCCUAAGAAGCUGAGAUUACAGCAACUCCAAAAUGGAAGUACUAUUGUUAUCUCCGUUUACAAAUUAGGAAACUGAGGCACAGAUAUGCUCUUGGGUACUUGUCAGCAGCAGUUGUUCUACAAGCUAAAUAUCUGGAUAUCUUAAAUCUCAGAUGAGCGUCUUAGCCUCUGGAUUACUGCUCAAUGAGGAAAGCUAUGAAAUGCAUGGAUAACUUGCUAAUCAGUAUUUGCCAUAUGUGCUAGCAGCAUCAGCAUCAGUUGGGAGAUUAUGGUGGCCUCCAUGUCAGACCUCCUAAAUCGGAAUAUCAGAGAAGGUGGCCCAGGUUACCAUGCUUCAUCUGCCAAUGCAUUGAAAACUUGGAAUGUAAAUUAAUUCAACCAUUGUGGAAGAUGGUGUAGUGAUUCCUCAAAGACCUAGAAGCAGAAAUAUCAUUUGAUCCAGAAAUCCCAUUACUGUGUAUACACCCAAAGGAAUAUAAACCAUUCUAUUACAAAGAUA